rnacentral:lncRNA from 1 species
UGGUUUAAAGCAUAAUUUGCUAAGUAUUAGUUAAUUAUGUGACGAAGAUAACAAUGUAACAUUUGAUUCUCCUGAAAUCAGCAUUAUAAAAUCCAAAUAAAAUCAAACCAUCUUUAAUAGUUCAAGAAGUAUAAAUAUCUACACCAUGAAUUUAAAUAAAAUUCCUUUAAAUGAUGUUUGUCUUCUGAGUAACGAGGAUGAAUCAUGGCUAUGGAAUAGUAGAAUAGCU